UUGAAGGGUAAAUCAUGUUUUAUUAACAAUUCUCAAAUUAUUUCCCCAAUUUUUCCGGGUACCUGCUCUUUUUGUUUGAUGAGAAGUAAACACACCUGUAAAUAACGCCAUGAAGGGUUUAUUGUUUUGAGUUGUUUGACUAUUUAGCAUUUUCCUUAUUGAUUUUGAUGUAUGUAUGACUUUUAUAUUGUAUUGUUUGAAUAAAUAUAGACGUUUUAUACUACUUCCGCUUAACAGAUAAAUCGGACUUUUAUUUUGAAAGGUUAAAAGGAAGCGCACUUUUUUUUAGGUUAAAAUGCGAACUUUAUGGUAUAGAUUACGGACAGAUGCGCAUUUUAUAACAAGUUUAAUAGUUGAUUUGACCCGUAUGGGACUAACUCUGUUAAGGUGGUGAUAGUGUACGAGUUUUAAUUAAUGUAUUGUCACCUAAAGAAAGAAAAUAAAGGAGAGUCACCAGCAGUAAGUCUUCACGCCAAUUCAUAUGGUCGUUACAACGCUUAUUGCUGUCAGAAUACGCAGGCGAAACAACAUAAAACAUAAUAAUAAAUAAGACUAGAGGACGCUUUUUACAAUUCAUAACAGCAUUGUAGAAAAGAGAGAUAACAAACGGCAAAGAUACGUUGAUCAGAGACGUAUUUGUAAUUAUAAUACGUCAAAUACAAACGUAAUCUGGAGAGAAAUACGUUUCAGUCAAACGUAAUUUGGAGAGAAAUACGUUUCAGUCAAACGUCACUGCAAAUUGCAUUUUAGGUCUGGGGGAACGUAAUUUUUGUGAUACAGGGUUGUCAAAUACACCCCACGUUUGCCAAGCAGUCUUCUUCCCUUUGCCACGGAAGGCUGAAACAACAUCACAGCCUGUAAAGGCAUGGAAGAAAAGGAUUCCUCUUCUCCUCUCUCUUCAGGGUUCCGUGUACAGGGGUCCGUGUACCGGGGUCUGUGUACAGGGUUCCGUGCACCGGGGUCUGUGUACCGGGUCCGUGUACAGGGUCCGUGUACAGGGUUCCGUGUAGAGGGGUCCGUGCUCCGGGGUCUGUGUACCGGGGUCCGUGUACCGGGGUUUCACUGCUUCAGCGCUCGCAACGGUGAAAAAAAAAUAACGGCACUUUUUAAUGUUCUUUCUUAAACUGGUCAAAGUAAAGUGGGUAUUAACACACAGAAGACGUUGUAAUUAAAAUAGAAACUGACAAGAUUAAUAGAGGAAUUGCAAAAACUCUCUGGCUACUCAUUUAUGAGAACUUCCAAAUUAUUAAAUGUUACUUUUCCCAAGAUUCUCAGCGGUACGCAGUAAAUUACUGUGAAAAGAAACACUUGACCGUUAGGAUCAUGGAAGCAAGCAUUAAAACUCCCAGAAUGCAUUGCUUUUACAGCAUUAUACAGCCCCCUGAUCGCAAGUUCCCCAAUCUGCCACUGUACAUACGGCUAAAUGUAUUGCAUUGUCGUUGUUACAUCCUGUUGCAUGACAUCAGAGUUUGAUAUUGUAUGUAUAUUCGACGAUAGAUGAAGCAUGGUUAUGAGCAGAUGUUUGAUCAUCUCACAGGCUUAUGAAAGGGUGAUCAGGCUGCCAGUGACUGUUAUUUAAACAACAACAAUUAUAUAGAACAAUACUAUUAUAUAUCUACUAUAUAUAUAAUACUUUAUACCAGUGGUUCUCAAAUGGGGUUAAAGAAAGGCACUCCACGGGGUAUGUGAGAUUUGUAAAAAAUAUUAAUUAAAAUUAUCAGCAAUAAAAAAAAUCCUUUCAAAAUGGUUAUUUCAUGAAUAUUUAAUAAAAUGUAAGUUUAAGAUCAUAAACUAAAUUUUAUAUUUUCUAUAUUAAAUCAGACACUCACGGCCCGGCGCUGUGUAUCCAUCACAGUCAACGAAAAAAGUACGAGAACCACUGCUGCAUACAAUAGGCCAGUAAAGACAUUACAAUUUUUUUUUUUUAAUACAAAAUUUGAAAAAUUUCUAAUGCAGAGUUGACUGAUCACAUGAUGAGGUCACAUGAUCAUGUGCUGAUGUUCCAGACCGAACAUUCUGAACCGAUGUAGGAGACAGAAUUGUGUGCUUGUCUCUUUAAAUUAUUUGAUGGCUUUGUGCCUAUGAUGUGAGGACACUUCGAUGACAUCAUCAGAUCAAAGCCACUAAAGCUUGUACAUAGCCCCAAUGAAACUGGACUGCCUCUGUUCCACUCUACUCAUCUUGAUUCAUUUAUGAAACAUUUGAUAGACACGAUGACGUCCCAAUCAUCAGCGAUCGUCCCUUUUACAGUCAAGAAGCAAGAAAUCAUCACCAACAAGUCCACACAAUAUCUCGUGCAGGACUUCAUCGGAGAAGGAUGUUUUGGAAAAGUUGCCAGGUGCAUGGUGGGGUCCAGGUUAUGCGAGUUAGUGUGGGAAAGAGUAGUAGAUUAACUUUUUCCUGACUAAUUUACAUAACCUGGUGGUGGUGGGGUCCAGGUUAUGCGAGUUAGUGUGGGAAAGAGUAGUAGAUUAACUUUUUCCUGACCAAUUUACAUAACCUGGUGGUGGUGGGGUCCAGGUUAUGCGAGUUAGUGUGGGAAAGAGUAGUAGAUUAACUUUUUCCUGACUAAUUUACAUAACCUGGUGGUGGUGGGGUCCAGGUUAUGCGAGUUAGUGUGGGAAAGAGUAGUAGAUUA